CUCCAUAGAACAUUCUUUUAUUUCUUUUUAUGAGGGGAGGUGGGAAGGGAAUGGGGUGUUGACAGCUUUACAGAGAUGUAAUUCACAUUCCAUAUAAUUAAUCAGCUAGGGACUAAUAAUCCAAAAUAUAGAAAGAACUCAUACAACUCAAUAACAAAAAUAUAAUUCCACUUUAAAAUGGGCAAAGGACCUACAUAGACACUUCUCAAAAGAAAUUCAAAUUGCUAACAGGUAUAUGAAUAAGUGCUCAACAUCUCCAGUCACGACGGAAAUGCUAAUCAAACCAGGAGAUACAGCCUCACACCUGGUAGAAUGAAUCGUAUCAAAGGUCAAAGAUAAGUGCUAGGGAGGAUGAAGAGAAGAGGAAGCGCUUGUAUGCUGCUGUUGGGGAUGUAAAUUAUGGAAAACAAUAUGGAGGUUCCCCCAAAAAAUUGAAAAUAGAAAUAUCUGGGUAUAUACCCAAAAGAAUUGAAAUCAAGGUUGCAAAGAGAUAUCUGCACUCCUAUGUUCAUUGCAGCAUUACUCAACGUCCUUUGAUGAAUAAAGAUAGGGUUUAUAAAAUUACAAUUACAUACUGCUCAGCCUUAUAAAAGGAAGAAAUCCUGCCAUUCAGAACAUGGAGGACAUUAUGCUGAGCAAAAUUAAAAUAGGCAAGACACAGAAAGAGAAAUACUGCACGAUCAUCUCACUUGUAUGUGAAAUCUGAGUCCAAUUCAUAGAAGCAGAGGGUAAGAUGGUUGCCAGGGGCUGAGGGAAGGGGGAAAUGGAGUGAUAUUGGUCAAAUGGUACAAAGUUUCAGUGAUACAAGAUGAACGAUUUCUGGAUAUCCAAUGUCCAGCAUGGUGAUGACAGUUCAGUACUGUAUUACAUACUUGUAAUUUGUUAAGAAAGAUCUUAUAUCUUCUCAUCACACAUACAUACACAAUACAUACAUAAUGGUAAUUAUGUAGAGGUAAUGAAGAUAUUAAUUAGCUUGAUUAUAGUGAUAAUUUCAGAAUGUAUAUCAAAACAUCAGGUUGUACAUCCUAAAUAUAUACAUUCAGAGGUUUCAAGGAGAAAACAAGACUUUAAAUUAUCUUUAGUUAUUGCUAACGUGUCUUAAAAUAGUCGUGACGAAUGGUUAUAAGUAGUAACCAUAUAAGCAAGCAGUCCUGUCAGACUGUUCCAGCACAGUAUUUCAGCUCACUGCUUAUAUACAGGUGACUUGCACUACUCUUACUGAACAUUUGAUAAGAACAUUUGAUGUAAAAAUGUUGAGACAGCUUUGUAUGGAAACCAAGAAUCAAAACUACUCAUUUCUUUUAUUCUCACCUCCAUUUUCUUAGAGAUCAAGAGAAAUCAUAGUCCUGUUUUAUAGCUUUUGACUAAAAGUUUCAGGAAGUAGAUCUUGGCCUAUGCUUUCAGAUUUUUUCCACAUCGUCUGGGAAUUUCAUUGCUAGAGUAUUGGUCUUAUACAGAACUCCUACACAACCGAAUUAUGGACUCCCUAUUUAUGUGGAAGCUUUAACUUGGUUUAUUUUGGCUCUGUGGAACACCUACUCAUUUUACAUGUACUUUCUAAGUGCUUCUUUAUUGAUAGACCUUUCUUACUAAGUAAUAUUGAAAUAUAAACUAUUGACAAAGCACAAUUUGCCCCCUAACCUUCUUGCAGAUGGUUUAGAAUUAGUAGGACUAUAAGCCAAAGGGAAAUGUGUGUCUCGCCAUCUAAAUAUUAGACUUGCUCUGAAGUUAGUGAGUCUUCAUGGAACUCAAUUACUAGUUAUUCCAGCAGUAAAUGUAAAAGCCAAGACAUUUCUGAAGAAGCACUUAUUCUACCAAUUAUUCCAACAUAUUAUAAAGCUCAGCUCAUGUUCCAGGAAAGUUGCUGUUGGCUUCUGGCCAGGUUUUCCCCAUGGGUUUACUGUGUGACUCAGGGACACUAUCCCACCGGUGAGUUUCCUCCAGUGUCCAGUCAAAUACCGCUGCAUCCUCAUUUCCAAGAGAAAAAGGAGAGGGGAUGCGUGAGUUCUUUUUCUCCAAGACAGAGUCUCGCUCUGUCACCAGGCUGGAGUGCAGUGACAUGAUCUCAGCUCACUGCAGCCUCCGCUUCCCAGUUUCAAGCGAUUCUCCUGCUUCAGCCUCCCAAAUAGCUAGGACUACAAGCGCGCACCACCAAGCCCGGCUAAUUUUUUUUUUGGUAUUUUUAGUAGAGACAGGGUUUCACCAUGUUGGCCAGGAUGGUCUCAAUCUCUUGACCUCAUGAUCUUAGACUGCUGUGCCAGGCACCAAAAAAGCCGAGCCCUUUAAAGUUAGGCCAGUGCCAGCUGAAAACAGCCAGCCCACUCUACUGCUAUGACCCAAAUUAGUCCUCUAGAGUCAAAGGUCUCUCUCUAGCAGGAGGUUAUUUUGCCCCAAACUGUCAUGUCUUUAUACUGAAAGAGUCUUUUUGUUUUUUUUUUUUUUUUUUUUUGAGACAGAGUCUAGUUCUGUCGCCCAGGCAGGAGUACGGUGGUGCAAUCUC
rnacentral:lncRNA from 10 species